rnacentral:rRNA from 1 species
GACGAACGCUGGCGGCGUGCCUAAUACAUGCAAGUAGAACGCUGAAGGAGGAGCUUGCUUCUCUGGAUGAGUUGCGAACGGGUGAGUAACGCGUAGGUAACCUGCCUGGUAGUGGGGGAUAACUAUUGGAAACGAUAGCUAAUACCGCAUAAUAGCAGUUGUUGCAUGAUAACUGUUUGAAAGGUGCAAUUGCACCGCUACCAGAUGGACCUGCGUUGUAUUAGCUAGUUGGUGGGGUAACGGCUCACCAAGGCGACGAUACAUAGCCGACCUGAGAGGGGGAUCGGCCACACUGGGACUGAGACACGGCCCAGACUCCUACGGGAGGCAGCAGUAGGGAAUCUUCGGCAAUGGACGGAAGUCUGACCGAGCAACGCCGCGUGAGUGAAGAAGGUUUUCGGAUCGUAAAGCUCUGUUGUAAGAGAAGAACGAGUGUGAGAGUGGAAAGUUCACACUGUGACGGUAUCUUACCAGAAAGGGACGGCUAACUACGUG